GGGCGGGGGCGGGGAGGGGACAGGCCCCGACGCUGCGGCCCCCGGCGCACCUACCCUCACUGCCCCGGCCUCCCUCGUCCGACUGCCGACCCGCCGGGGUUCGCGGGCCGCCAGCCCUCCUUGCCUACCCCCGGCCUGGGAGCUGGAGGCCCUCGCAGGAGAGGGGGUGUGGCCGCGCCCCGCGGGGGUGCAGGGAGGAAGGCUACGCAGGGGAGGUGGCGCCCGCGGCAGGUCUCCGGGAGCUGGCGGAGUGUCUGUCGGCAGGUGCGGGGAAGCGGUGCUAAGUGCUUCAUCUGCCUUUUCCCCGCUUCUUCAUCAGGCGACCGGUACCUCCCCCUGUUGUGGUUAGGGAGCUGAAGCCUCAGAAGCUGCCCGAGGCAGGCACGCGGUCCGUGCUAGAGUCGGAAGUGGAAUUCCCAAGCCGCCAAUCAGUCGUCCCCGCGCACGGCCUGGCGCGCUGCACCUGUACGCACCUGUACGGGAAGUGCCUGCCUCACAUCCUCUGAGCAUCUUCUGUCUCAGCUCUGAACCCCUCGGCCCUCUGAGAGAAUACGGCUGGGUAAAUGGCUCAGCCCCUACCUGCUGGGUUGUGUCCACCUGAACCAGUCGACUGCAAAUGCAAAACAGAGCGCUCCAGUGGGUGGCUCGGGCUCUCCGGAGGAGGGAGAGGUGGCAGUCAGCUCGAGCCGCUGAUUGCAUCAGGAAGGCGGCUGAGUUGAGCUGGGCAGGGAUUCGCAAGAUCAAUGAAGGACAUUCCAGGUCUGGGACGCUGAAGCGAGGACUCACAGACUCCUUCUUGCAGUUCUCCAUGAUGCCCCAGAAAGCUGGAAGUAACCCCUCUGGCAUUUCCAAUGCAAGUGAUAUGGAAGUGGAGAUACAUAACAUGAGAGAGAAGUUUCUCAUAAGUGUGACAAAGUUAGUAGAAAGCAAAAGUUACAACAGCAAGGUAUUUUCCAAAGAAAAGUACUUUCAAACAAUAAAGGAAGUCAAAGAAGCUAAGGAGAAGGGGAAGAAGUCAUCACGUGACUACCGCCGUGCAGCAAAAUACGACGUGAUCUCUGUGCAAGGCACAGAGAGACUAAUAGAAGCUACUCAUGGAGAACAUGAUCGAAUACGGUAUUACGUGCAUAAGGAAGAGUUGUUUGAUAUUCUCCAUGAUACGCAUCUCAGUAUUGGACAUGGAGGGCGGACACGCAUGCUCAAGGAGCUACAAGGAAAAUACGGCAAUGUCACCAAAGAAGUCAUUGUCUUGUAUCUGACACUGUGUAAACAAUGUCACCAGAAGAACCCAGCACCUAAGAGAGGUCUUGCCCCCAAGCCCAUGACUUUUAAGGACAUUGACUCCAGAUGCCAGAUUGAAGUACUUGACAUGCAGUCAAAUGCUGAUGGUGAGUUCAAGUUUAUUUUAUAUUACCAGGACCACUUGACCAAGUUUAUUAUUUUACGGCCACUAAAAGCGAAACAGGCCCAUGAGGUGGUCAGUGUCCUAUUGGAUAUCUUCACAAUUCUUGGUACACCUAGGAUGUUAGAAUCUGGCAGUGGCGUAGAGUUCACAAACCAGGUUGUUAAUGAGCUCAAUGAGGUAUGGCCGGACCUAAAGAUUGUCUGUGGCAAGCACCACCCUGGCCAAGGCCCAGGCUCCCUGGAGCGAGCAAGCCAUGAUGUUAAGAACAUGGUAAAUGCCUGGAUGCAGAGUAACCGCUCACGUCGCUGGGCCGAAGGCCUGAGAUUCAUGCAGAUGGUGAAGAAUCAGCUGUUUGACGUUUCCUUACAGCAGAGUCCAUAUGAAGCGAUGUUUGGUUUUAAGGCCAAACUCGGGCUGUAUUCUUCACACUUACCCCGGGAAACUGUGGCCGUUUUACAAACAGAGGAAGAGCUGGAAAUUGCUGAAGAACAGCUAGAAAGUAGCCUUUGGAUCAGGCAGGAAGAAAGGGCUGAGGUUGGGGCAGACCGAUCUGAUAUGGAUGAGGACCUCGAUCCCACUGCUCCAGAAGCUGCAGAACCCAGCACCUCACAGGGGGCCCCGGGUCUCUUCUGCUGGUGAGAGGGCACCUGCUGAGUGGGCACCCAUGGCAUCCGUGGGCUCUGCACAGCCAUGUGGGAACUGGUGCCAUACUCCCCAGGGAAAGGGAUAUGAAGGCUACCCUCUGGUUGGUCAUAUUGUCCAUGGCAGUCCUUGCUCAAAGGGGAAAACCAGGUAAGGUCUGGGACCUCGGGCCUCCAUAACAAAUGAUCACAAACUUGGCAACCUAAAACAAUAGGAAUUUAUUCUCUCACCAUUCUAGAGGCCAAAAGUUCAGAAUCAGUGUAUCAGCAGGGUCUCUUCCUUCUGGAGGCUCUGAGGAAGAAUCUAUUCAAUGCAUCUCUCCUUUCUCUGGUGGCUCCCAGCAACCCUUGGUGUACCUUAGCUUGUAAAAUAAGUCCAGUCUCUGCCUCAUCUUUGUGUGGGUCUUUACAUGGCCUCCCUUCCUUGACUGGGUGUGUUCUCCUUUGUCUUUUACAAGGACACCGUUGGAUACCAAAUCUGUGUCACUGGGUUUAAGGCCCACCUCAAUCAAGGAUGAUCUCAUCUCAAGAGCCUCACCUUAAUUAUAUUUGCAAAGACCCUUUUUCCAAGUGAGGUCAGAUUCACAGGUAUUGGGGGUUUGGACUUGAAUGUAGCUUUCUGGGGGACAGAGUUCUACCAACUACAGGUAAGAAGAGUAUGUUUGCCUGCAGAACAUGAACCGAUGGGGUCUUAAGUGUGCUCCUCUGACAAUGUCCCAGAAGAUGGGGGCAUCAGGGGAAAAGAUGUAGAUGAAGAACAAGUAAUGAGAAAAGAGGUUGCUCCAACAUACCCUGGAGACUGGCCACCUCAGCAUCUCAGCUCUAUUUCUUGCUUCAAGGAAAACCAUGUGUGCCCUCCAUGCUCUCAGAACGGCAUGGAUAGGGAAUUGUGGGACUUGCCUGAAACAUAUUUGAGAAGUUGAUCAGAAUGAAGUCAGGAAUGGGAUUUGGGUCUGAGUCUGCCAGGUGUCUCUGCCUCAAGAAUAGAAAAGCAUGUCUUUCUGGAACAAGUCAGUACAUUCCAGGAAAUGACCAGUAGCCAAGGACUGUGGAGCAAAGUGCAAACAUUGGCCAGAGGUCCCUGCGCCAGCCAGAGAAGAACAGAGCAAGGGCCAGUCAGGGUCAUGGUUCAGAGUGAGGAAAACUGACCUAGCCAAGGAGAAGGCUAAUGCCUUGCAUCUGUGUACUGCUGUGCCCCCAAGGCCCAGACGAAUGCCUAAUCCAUCAGAGGUGUUCAGUAAGGAUUUGUUGUGGGAAUGAGUCUGCAGAGGAGGGCACCGGGAAGGAGAGGGGCCUGCAGUCUGUGUUCUCCAUGUACCUUUCCUGCAUAUUCUGGAACUAUCCGGAGCCCAUCUGAAUUGCCCCUAGAGCUGGUUUCCUCCUCUGUAAAGGGCAGUACCUACCCCUACCUGCAGAAGGGGAGACACUGCCUGCCUCACAGCAUUGUGAGACCAAUGAGGGAAUGUGUGUGGAGGAGCUUCUCUAAACACAAGUUCUAUCAUGAAAUCACUGCCAAGACCAAUGCCAUGAAGCUUUUCUCCUGUGUGUUCUUCUAGAAGUGUUAUAGUUCUGGGUCUGAACAUUUAGUGCAUUACCUGAAUCUAAUUAUGAAGAAAUGAGAGAAAAGCCCAGAUUGAGGCCCAUCCUGCAAAACAGCUGGCCUGUGCUUUUCAAAAAGAUAGAAGGUGUGGAAGACAAAGACUAAGGACCUGUCCUAGUUAAAGGAGGUCAACAAGACAUGACAACUGGAUGCAGCGCAUGGUCCGGGACUUUUCUUUUGUUGUAAUGAACAUCACUGGGACAAUUGGCAAAAUCCGAAUAUUACCUGCAGGUUACAGCAUUGUUUUAUCAAUGUUAAUUUCCUGACCUUGAGAAUUGUACUGUGGUUAUGUAGGAGUUCCUAGGAAAUACACAGUGGAGUCUCUGAGGGGAAAGGGGUAUCGUGUUUAAUUUAUUCUCAAAUGAUAGCAGAGAAAGUGUGUGUGUGUGUGUAGAGAGAGAGAGAGAGAGGCCAGGGGAGAUAAAGCAAAUGUAAUCAUGUUAACAUUUGGGGAAAUCUGGGUGAAGAAUUGGGUGUUUAUACCACCCAAAUCUGGUAUAAAAGAAUUCUUUAUACCGUUCUUGCAACUAAUAUUCUAUAAGUCUGCAAUGUCUAAAACAAUUUUUUAGGAGUGCAUGGGGUGGUUCAGUCUGUUAAGCAUCCGACUCUUGGUCAUGACCUCAGAAUCAUGGCAUCAAGCCCCAUGUCCCGCUCCUCACUCAGCAGGGAAGUCUGCUUGAGAUUUUCUCCCGUGGCCCCUUUGUCCACAUGAUCUCCCUCUGUCUCUCUAAAAUAAAUAAAUAUUUUUUAAAAAUGUUUUUUAAACAAUUGGUGGGUCCUGGGUGCCUGGGAAUUCCAAGGAUUUAGUAGAAUACAGUGUCUGACAAAUCCCUAGUCAGCUACACAGACAGAGCCAGACUUCUCACAGGUGCCUGCAGUUUCUAUCUCAUCAAUCAGCUUCCCCCUCAAACAGUAGUCCCUCGUUAGCUGAAUCCUUUCUGCAAAACAGGGGUUCUUAGCCUGUUUCUGUCGAAUGAUCUGUGGAGGCAGAAAAUUAUAAGGCUUGUGUUUUCUCCAUUGUAGAAAAUUAAACUCUAUAUUCUCUCUGUCUUGGCA